rnacentral:rRNA from 1 species
UGCAUAUUCCAAAAAGCGGAGGAAAAGAAACCAACAGGGAUUGCCUCAGUAACGGCGAGUGAAGCGGCAACAGCUCAAAUUUGAAAUCUGGCUCUUUUAGGGUCCGAGUUGUAAUUUGUAGAAGAUGCUUUGGGUGAGGCUCCGGUCUAAGUUCCUUGGAACAGGACGUCAUAGAGGGUGAGAAUCCCGUAUGUGACUGGUUGCCUUCGUCCGUGUAAAGCUCUUUCGACGAGUCGAGUUGUUUGGGAAUGCAGCUCAAAAUGGGUGGUAAAUUUCAUCUAAAGCUAAAUAUUGGCCAGAGACCGAUAGCGCACAAGUAGAGUGAUCGAAAGAUGAAAAGCACUUUGGAAAGAGAGUUAAACAGUACGUGAAAUUGUUGAAAGGGAAGCGCUUGCAACCAGACUUGCACGCGGUUAAUCAUCUGGUGUUCUCACCGGUGCACUUGACCGCGUUCAGGCCAGCAUCGGUUUAGGUGGUGGGAUAAAGGCCUUGGGAAUGUAGCUUCUUUCGGGGAGUGUUAUAGCCCUCGGUGCAAUGCCGCCUACCUGGACCGAGGACCGCGCUCGGCUAGGAUGCUGCGUAAAACCUA